rnacentral:rRNA from 1 species
ACCUGUACCCAUGCCGAACACAGUAGUUAAGCUCGUAAACGCCGAAAGUACUUGGCUGGAAACGGCCCGGGAGCAUAGGUAGCUGCUGAUU